rnacentral:rRNA from 1 species
GCGGUAAAACGCACUGGAGGACCGAACCAGGGCACGUUGAAAAGUGCUUGGAUGAGGUGUGGGUAGCGGAGAAAUUCCAAUCGAACUUGGAGAUAGCUGGUUCUCUCCGAAAUAGCUUUAGGGCUAGCCUCGGAAUGAAGAAUCGUGGAGGUAGAGCACUGUUUGGACUAGGGGCCCAUCUCGGGUUACCGAAUUCAGAUAAACUCCGAAUGCCAUGUAUUUAUGUCCGGGAGUCAGACUGCGAGUGAUAAGAUCCGUAGUCGAAAGGGAAACAGCCCAGACCACCAGCUAAGGUCCCAAAGUAACUGUUAAGUGGAAAAGGAUGUGGAGUUGCAUAGACAACUAGGAUGUUGGCUUAGAAGCAGCCACCAUUCAAAGAGUGCGUAAUAGCUCACUAGUCGAGUGACUCCGCGCCGAAAAUGUACCGGGGCUAAACAGUACACCGAAGCUGUGGAUUCAAUCUUAUGAUUGAGUGGUAGGAGAGCGUUCUAAGGGCGGUGAAGGCAUACCGAAAGGAGUGUUGGAGCGCUUAGAAGUGAGAAUGCCGGUAUGAGUAGCGAAAGACGGGUGAGAAUCCCGUCCACCGAUAGACUAAGGUUUCCUGGGGAAGGCUCGUCCUCCCAGGGUUAGUCGGGACCUAAGGCGAGGCCGAAAGGCGUAGUCGAUGGAUAACAGGUUGAUAUUCCUGUACUUCUGUUAAUUGUUUGAGCAAUGGAGGGACGCAGGAGGCUAAGUUGAGCGUACGACUGGAAAUGUACGUCCAAGCAGCGAGUCCGCUGAUGAGUGAAAUGCUUGUCACAUACGGGGUGAGCUGUGAUGGGGAGCGAAAUAAAGUAGCGAAGCAACUGACGUCACACUGCCGAGAAAAGCUUCUAGUGAGAUUAACAGAACCCGUACCGCAAACCGACACAGGUAGUUGAGUGGAGAACACUAAGGUGAGCGAGCGAACUCUCGUUAAGGAACUCGGCAAAAUGACCCCGUAACUUCGGGAGAAGGGGUGCUGGUAGCAAUACCAGCCGCAGUGAAUAGGCCCAGGCGACUGUUUAUCAAAAACACAGGUCUCUGCAAAAUCGAAAGAUGACGUAUAGGGGCUGACGCCUGCCCGGUGCUGGAAGGUUAAGAGGAGAGGUUAGUCCUUGAGGCGAAGCUUUGAAUUGAAGCCCCAGUAAACGGCGGCCGUAACUAUAACGGUCCUAAGGUAGCGAAAUUCCUUGUCGGGUAAGUUCCGACCCGCACGAAAGGCGUAAUGAUUUGGGCACUGUCUCAACGAGAGACUCGGUGAAAUUUUAGUACCUGUGAAGAUGCAGGUUACCCGCGACAGGACGGAAAGACCCCAUGGAGCUUUACUGUAGUUUGAUAUUGAGUGUUUGUGUGACAUGUACAGGAUAGGUAGGAGCCGAAGAGAUGGGAACGCCAGUUUCCAAGGAGGCAAUGGUGGGAUACUACCCUUGUUACAUGAACCCUCUAACCCGCACCUAGAAGCAAGGUGGGAGACAGUGUCAGACGGGCAGUUUGACUGGGGCGGUCGCCUCCUAAAAUGUAACGGAGGCGCCCAAAGGUUCCCUCAGAAUGGUUGGAAAUCAUUCGAAGAGUGUAAAGGCAGAAGGGAGCUUGACUGCGAGACCUACAAGUCGAGCAGGGACGAAAGUCGGGCUUAGUGAUCCGGUGGUACCGUAUGGAAGGGCCAUCGCUCAACGGAUAAAAGCUACCCUGGGGAUAACAGGCU